GCACCAACCUAGCCCGCCUAAAACAAAUAAAACUAAACAAAAAAAUAAUCUCACUAAAACUAACCAAAACAUUUCUACCACCCCAGUAUAGGCGAUAGAAAAGAC
rnacentral:rRNA from 2 species